rnacentral:rRNA from 1 species
GACGAACGCUGGCGGCGUGCUUAACACAUGCAAGUCGAACGGUAAGGCCCUUUCGGGGGUACACGAGUGGCGAACGGGUGAGUAACACGUGAGGAACCUGCCCUUGACUCUGGGAUAACAGUGGGAAACUUCUGCUAAUACCGGAUAUUCAGAUUCUGCCGCAUGGUGGGGUUUGGAAAGCUUUUGUGGUCAAGGAUGGUCUCGCGGCCUAUCGGCUUGUCGGUGAGGUAAUGGCUUACCAAGGCUUCGACGGGUAGCCGGCCUGAGAGGGCGACCGGCCACAUUGGGACUGAGAUACGGCCCAGACUCCUACGGGAGGCAGCAGUGGGGAAUAUUGCACAAUGGGCGAAAGCCUGAUGCAGCAACGCCGCGGGCGGGAUGACGGCCUUCGGGUUGUAAACCGCUUUCAGUAGGGACGAAGCGUAAGUGACGGUACCUACAGAAGAAGCACCGGCUAACUACGUGCCAGCCGCCGCCGUAA